rnacentral:sRNA from 1 species
UUUAAAACUGGGAAGGAGGAAGACGAGGCCAGGGAGCCAGAGGGUCACCGAGGUAGAUUUCCAGCAGCACUAGCCCAGCUGAACACUUUCCAGCCUUGUUUUUCAUCAGCUUUGAGGAAAAGUAUAGCUUCUGCUCCAUUGCUAUUGAACUUUUUUUCAGUUGUGACAUCAAAAAAAUAACCAAGUUGAUCCGUACGUGAAACUUUCAUUGUACGUAGCGGAUGAGAAUAGAGAACUUGCUUUGGUCCAGACAAAAACAAUUAAAAAGACGCUGAACCCAAAAUGGAAUGAAGAAUUUUAUUUCAGGGUAAACCCAUCUAAUCACAGACUCCUAUUUGAAGUAUUUGAUGAAAAUAGACUGACACGAGACGACUUCCUGGG